UACGUAGGGUGCGAGCGUUGUCCGGAAUUAUUGGGCGUAAAGGGCUCGUAGGCGGUUUGUCGCGUCGGGAGUGAAAAUCAUGAGCUUAACUCAUGGCUUGCUUUCGAUACGGGCAGACUAGAGGUAUGCAGGGGAGAACGGAAUUCCUGGUGUAGCGGUGAAAUGCGCAGAUAUCAGGAGGAACACCGGUGGCGAAGGCGGUUCUCUGGGCAUUACCUGACGCUGAGGAGCGAAAGUGUGGGGAGCGAACAGG
rnacentral:rRNA from 1 species